rnacentral:tRNA from 1 species
CAGGGUAUAGCUUAAUUUAGUAUAGCGCUUCCCUUACACUGAAGAAAUGCCCAUGCAAACUGGACUACCCUGA